ACACCCCAUCCGGCGCUUAUCUCCGGCACUCACAAUGGCUUAGCUCUUGAAGGGGUAUAAGAAUACU
rnacentral:sRNA from 1 species